rnacentral:rRNA from 2 species
UACGUAGGGCGCAAGCGUUAUCCGGAAUUAUUGGGCGUAAAGAGAUCGUAGGCGGUUUGUCGCGUCUGCCGUGAAAGUCCGGGGCUCAACUCCGGAUCUGCGGUGGGUACGGGCAGACUAGAGUGAUGUAGGGGAGACUGGAAUUCCUGGUGUAGCGGUGAAAUGCGCAGAUAUCAGGAGGAACACCGAUGGCGAAGGCAGGUCUCUGGGCAUUAACUGACGCUGAGGAGCGAAAGCAUGGGGAGCGAACAGG